GGGUCAUAAAGAGCUGCAGUGUCAUUGAUUGGAAGGCUGGAAGAGAUGACUAACAAUCACUCAUAUUCAUCAUGCAGAUACAUGACCCUGUUGAAGCCAUGGGGAAGGAGAGAGGCAGAGAAGAUGGCAACCAGCCAAGGACAUGUAUGGGCUGUUAUGUUUGUGUUUGUAUGUCAGUGUGGACAAGCACAGAUUGAUGGUUGGUUAAGACCCCGAGGCAAUAUGAAGCCUCCCUUGCAAGUCUUGUCAUCUCAUCUCAGCCCAUCCCUCCAUCCCAACCUGUCACUCCCCCCCUCCGUCAUCCCUCUGGCUUUAAUUUGUGCAAUAGUUGAAAACGUUGUGCAUCAUGUGUUGCAGCCAUAAUCCUAUCUGAUGUGAUGUAAAUGAUAUCAGUGUAACAAACCUAUGAUUUGAAUAAUCACAAUUUCCAAAUAAAUGCAGAAUGUUAUGUGUAAUUCUAUGUUGUGUGAUGCAUUAUUUAAUUGAUCACUGGCUACAAUUACAUACACAUAAUAAUGGCUAUUAUCAACACUGCAAGCAAAGCAAUAGUCUAAUUAAGAUGUUCACAUAAUCCUCCAUGCUUACAGCUCCCUAUAAUAACCCUGUGUAUGUGAGUGAAGUGUGUAUCUUGAGAGACAGCUGCAGGAACUGGAGCAAGUUUUGCCAAAAGAAGAGAAACAAAAAAAAAAAGGGUUGUGAUCCUGCUGCUAUCAAAAAAAGAAGAAGUAAUAAUUACAGCACCGACUCUGCAGAAGCACAGAAGCUUUUAAUUCCUGUGGUUUUCCAACAGAGCUGUUCUGACAUUGUGCCUGCCCUCCUUACCCGUGUUAAAACUAGACGCUGUCCAAAAGCUGCAUCAUGUCCAUGUUUUUCAACAUCUGUAAUGUAAAACCAUGUGACUCUAACAUCUGCACCUACCUACGAUCUCUGUCAUGAACAUCUGCACAGUGUAAUACAAUUCAAUACAGAUGUCCUGCUAUGAACCCUGUCUCUGUGAAGCUCACUGUUUUUUCUUUGUUGAGACUAUUUUAGUUUAAGUGU